rnacentral:lncRNA from 1 species
GUUAAUCUGGCGCUUGCAUAAUAUCAAACUAAUUCACUCGGCACUUAGAAAAGCUCCACCAUAAAAUAUUCAUCAUGUCCCUACAUUCUCGGCUAGGUAACUCAAUCAUAGCCAAAAAAGCCUUUUCCAUACCCCCCAUAAUAUCGUAUCCCCUUUCUUUCAAGCCUUCAUUUGAUAAUGUGUACAUAAGUGGCAUGUAACUCGGUCGAGUCUAGGAAUUAAUAAAGUUGAUAAGUUGAGUAAUUAUAGGAUUGUAUAGUCUCCCUUAUUAAUAGUUUGUUGUACUAUUUUAAUUUCAAAAAAGGGGAGGAGACAAGCGAAAAAAUCCAGUUUCAGAGUAAAAGAAAAAAAAUGAAAAAAUAAAAAAAUGCAGAAAGAAGAAAAAAAUUAUAGUAGAUUAGUUAAAUAAACAAGUAGAACAGCUCGAGGUAGUAGUUGACAUAAGGGAUAGACGAGCUAGUUUAAAGCUCUUGUUGAAAAUGAAAUCCUUGCAUCAUGAUUAGUUGUCUUAAUAGCUUAGGUCCAUAUUAGAAUAGAGCGAGUCAUCC